GAUGAACGCUGGCGGCAUGCCUAAUACAUGCAAGUCGAACGGGAUAUCUUCGGAUAUCCAGUGGCGAACGGGUGAGUAACACGUAGGUAACCUGCCCAUGUGCCCGGGAUAACGCCUGGAAACGGGUGCUAAAACCGGAUAGGUAUCGCUUCUGCAUGGAAGAGAUAUUAAAGGAGCUGCAAGGCUCUGAACAUGGAUGGACCUGCGGUGCAUUAGCUGGUUGGUGAGGUAACGGCCCACCAAGGCGACGAUGCAUAGCCGGCCUGAGAGGGCGGACGGCCACAUUGGGACUGAGACACGGCCCAAACUCCUACGGGAGGCAGCAGUAGGGAAUUUUUCGUCAAUGGGGGGAACCCUGAACGAGCAAUGCCGCGUGAGUGAGGAAGGUCUUCGGGAUCGUAAAGCUCUGGUUGUAAGAGAAAAACGGCACUCAUAGGGAAUGAUGAGUGAGUGAU
rnacentral:rRNA from 1 species